ACAAAAGAAACGAUAAUAGUAAUAAAAUGGAAAUAAAAAGGAAAAAAAAAUAAAAAAGAGAGAGAAAAAGAAAAGCUUCCGCGAACACUUAUGUACAGGCAGGCGGCUUUCCUUCUUGUAAUAUCUAGUCUGUAUAUCAUAUGGAGGAAGAAUGGAAUAAUCACGCGCGAAUAGUCACUUUUUACCUCGACGAAAUGAAAUUUCAUUCUCGAUUCGAAACUUUCUCGCACGCUCCGCGAAACAUUCCUGUUCGACCGAUGUUUCAUGCGUUCAUCAAUCGUGAUUACAAUUAUUGCAUGUGCACACAUGUGUUUUUCAUUCAAAUUCCAUUCGAAUGAAUAAUCAGUUUAGCAGUCGCUUCCAUUGUAAUUGAAAUCGAUUUAUUAGAAGAUCAUAUGGAGCAAAGGAGCAAGAAGAUGAAGAAACAUGAUUUUGAAGAAAAUUGUUUGGUAAUUAAUUUUUUUUUAGAUAUAAAACUCGUUUAUAUUUUUUCUUCCAUUUCAUUAAUUCUUUUCUUCUUCUUUUAAUUAAUCGAAUAAUAAACAGUACGUUUGUCUUCAGCUUGUCUUCUUUCACGCAUGAAAUCAUCUCGAGCACGAAUGCGGCUGACACGUUCGUAACUUUUUAUCCCUCGUCGCCUUGAUGUAGCACGUUGUUCGAAUUCGAAAAAAAAAAAAAAAAAAAAACAAAAGGAAAGAUGUUUUUUUUUUUUCUUCCUCCUCCUUUCGGAAAAGAAGAAACGUGGGCGGUCGAGGACAAAGGCGAAGCAAAUAAAUUAGCACAAAUCGAUCACCAGGCGAUCAAAAUCAAUUUCCCGUGUUACGUUUUGAGAGGAUGAAAAGAAAUUGAACCACUUAGACGCUUACCAGGAGCACUUAACACACUCGUAGUGAUGCAUCGAAGGGCAAAAUACAGUUCUGCCUGCGAUUGAAACGUAUUUCUUUCUUUCUUUCUAUUUUUUUUUUUUUUUUUUUUUAUUUUACCUAUAAUUUCAUUCACCACACAAAUUCAUUUU